ensembl:lncRNA
NNNNNNNNNNNNNNNNNNNNNNNNNNNNNNNNNNNNNNCCCCGCCAAUGGAACCCGGUGCUCUGAGCUUCCCCUGCAGUGCCUGGCCAGUGGGACCCAGUGCCACAAUCUUCCCCUGCAGUGCCCGGCCUGUGGGACCCACUGUUUCCAGCUUUCCCGGCAGUGYCCAGCCCAUGGGACCUAAUGCUCCAAGAUUCCCCGGCAGUGCCCAGCCUGCAGGACCCAGCAGUGCCCAGCUCCUUUCCUUCCCUCUCUCACUUAUGGUCUGGGUGAGCAGCAGUCAGUCACAGCCCGGAAGGGGACUGCGCUUUAUCCCAGGAGCUAAUAGCGGCCAUGGGCCUCCCCCGCACUGGGCACUGUCUGCCCUGGGAAUGGCUCAGCCUGAGCAGCUGGCGCCGGAGCCUGCCGGCACAGGGAUGCUGCUGCUCCCAGAGCCCCCUCAGCGCCGGGUUCCCACGGGGGCGGCUCUGCCCCAGGCCGGCCAUCCCCACGGCACGGCUGGGCCCACGCGCUCCCCGUGCCCAGCGGGUCGUGGUGUCCACUGUGCCCGGGCACCACACUCCCUGCCCAGGGGAGCAUGGGCUCACGUGGGUCCUGGCCCGGCCCGGCCGCGGGACGCCUCUGCCAAACCAUCCCACCGGGCAAAGCUCACGGGCACCCAGGGCCUGGGCACAGCCCCGCUGCCCCCGGCCUUGCCCAGAGCAGCCCGUCCCUGGGGCUCUGGGGCGAGUGGGGGGCUGGCAGGGCCAUGGCGCAGGAGGGCAGCACCCCGGCAGCGGGCAGCACCCCGGCAGCGGGCAGCAUCCCGGCAGCAGGCAGCAUCCCAGCCGUGCCGCGAGCGGGGCUGCGCGGGGCCGGGGGCCCCAUCCUUGGCGGAAGCGCGUGCAGACCCCUGGGGAACCACCCGGCUCGUCCGGCCGUUGCCAUGGCGACGCGUUAUUAAUGACAGCUGCUUAUUUUGCCAUGGCAACGCAGGGGAGAGGGGCUCUGCUCUGCGGCGGACGAGCUCUCCCGGGGCCGGGCAGCCCGGCCCCCUCRCUGCCCAAGGGCAGAGCUGCGGGAUGAGGCCGGCCGCCCCCGGCCAUCGCCAUCCCGCCAGCCGGCCCGCCAGCGAGCCGCGGGCGAUGGUGCUAGGCGCCAGCGUUGUGCUGCUCUGGGCCAUACCUGGCACCGCGGCUGCGGGCUGCCGGCUCCUGCCUCCCUCCUCAGCCGGGCUCCCUUCCUGCUCCCGGCCCCGCUCGCAGGCUCCAACGUCCCUUCCUGGGCCAGGGACAGCCCCGGCCGGGCUCCACCCCACCUGCCUUAUCGGUACCCUUUGCCCAGGAAGUGCCACCGCGGGGACGGGACGGGGACAGACGGGACGGGAUGGGGCUCCGCGUCACAGGGCUGGGCCGGCGGCGCCCUGCGCGGGGUGAGUGUGCGGGGACCAGCCCUGCGGCGGGAUCCCCCUCCGCACGGCAUCGCCCAGGGCCUGGUGGGGUCCGGCAUCGCCUGCACCGGCAUCGCCUGCACCAGUGUCGCCGCCAGAGCGCUGCACCCCGGGGAGCCGCCACC